AUUGCUGUUCUGUGACAGAAGCUGCUCUGAGGGUUAGAGAACGUCGAGUGGAGCAAACUAACAGAGUUAGUGGGUGUGUGAGGAGGAAUGGAGCCAGCGGAGUGGGCAGGGAGGCUUCAUAAAGGCACAGUGCAGACCGCAGAUCCCAUUAACAAGGUAUCGGUCUUGUGUUUGACGAGAACGAACCGAAAAAGUUUGGAUUUUUCCCUUCGCCAGGCCCGGGGUAACGGCCGCCAUCUUUAUAGGGGGCAAAGUGCAGCAGGGCGCAUGCGCGAUCACCCCUGGUCCAGGUGGCAGGAGGAGAGAAUGUUGUAAAUUUCUAUCCUGGACUGACAGGGAUGGAUUUUGGAAACUCCUUUUACAGGGGGUUAGAAGUGGAGGAUUUACAGACGGGGAAGACCUGACAGAGCCACUCGAUUCAUCAGGACUGGGAUCCUCCUUUUCUAAUGCUCAGUACAAACCAUUUCCCAAAGCUGUCACUUAGUCCAGGAUAGAAAUUCAGGACCCAGAUAUUAUCGGCCUCUGAGUGUAAGCAUUGAGUUCCAGGUCUUUACUACUCAAGGAGUAAAAACGUUUUUCCUCACAUCUCCCCCUGCAGAUCUAGCCCAAAAUCUUUCAUUUGUGUCCUGUAAUCCUUUUACAGUCAGUUAAUGGGAACAGCUUUUCCUUAUCUACCUUAUCUGAACCUAUCAUAAACUUGUACACCUCCAUUAAAUCUCCCUUUAAUCCCCUUUUCUCCAAGGAGAACCUAACCUUACUUUUAAAAUCCCUCAUCCCUUGAACCAUUCUGUUAAAUCUCCUCUGCCCCCUCUCAAGGCCCCUCACAUCCUUUACAAUGUGUGGUGAUCACUGGUUUGCACAGACCCAGAUGUUCUGUGUCUGUGACAUCAUCAAACAUCGACAAUUACACUGUGACAUCAUCACACAUCGACAAUUACACUGUGACAUCACCCCGCUCCCCGGGUAUUUCCUCAACUGGGAGAUUUUUCUCUGACUCCAGUGCUUCUGAUAUCUUUCCAGCUGCAGGCUCUAGCAGGAGAGUUUAAAAUUGAACCUUGAAAUUGUUUCACAGAUACCAACAUAUAUUGCGAAGCCCCAGUUGCCUGUGGAGAAGAUGAUGUUUGACCUUCUUGAACCGCUGCAGUCUGUGUGGUGAAGGUGCUCCCACAGUGCUGAUCGGGUAUUAGAAGGGGAGGAUUUGCAGUCGGGAAACUGAAACCAAACAUCACAUCAA